UACGUAGGGGGCUAGCGUUGUCCGGAUUUAUUGGGCGUAAAGAGCGUGUAGGCGGCCUGGUAGGUCUGCUGUGAAAACUCGAGGCUCAACCUCGAGAUGUCGGCGGAAACCAUCUGGCUAGAGUCCGGAAGAGGAGAGUGGAAUUCCUGGUGUAGCGGUGAAAUGCGCAGAUAUCAGGAAGAACACCCGUGGCGAAAGCGGCUCUCUGGAACGGUACUGACGCUGAGACGCGAAAGCGUGGGGAGCGAACAGG
rnacentral:rRNA from 1 species